GAUGAACGCUGGCGGCGUGCCUAACACAUGCCAGUCGAGCGAACAGACCAGGAUCUUGCUCCUCUGACGUUAGCGGCGGACGGGUGAGUAACACGUGUAUAACCUACCUAUAAGACUGGGAUAACUUCGGGAAACCGGAGCUAAUACCGGAUAAUAUAUUGAACCACAUGGUUCAGUAGUGAAAUACGGUUUUGCUGUCACUAAUACAUGGCUCCGCGCCGCAUUAGAUAGUUGGUAAGGUAACGGCUUACCAAGGCGACGAUGCGUAGCCGACCUGAGAGGGUGAACGGCCACACUGGAACUGAGGCACGGUCCAGCUGCCUACGGGAGGCAGCAGUAGGGAAUCUUCGGCGAUGGGCGGAAGCCUGACGGAGCAACGCCGCGUGAGUGAUGAAGGUCUUCGGAUCGUAAAAAGCUGUUAUUAGGGAAGAACAAAUGUGUACGUAACUAUGCACGUCUUGACGGUACCUAAUCAGAAAGCCACGGCUAACUACGUG
rnacentral:rRNA from 1 species